CUCCUUCUUUUUCUUCUUCUCUUCACCGUGGGCGGCGCCCUCGCCGCCGCCGACACCGGGGAUCUUCUGCUUGAUCUUGUCCACCAAGCCCUCCUUGUGUUCGCCCUCCUUGUGUUCCCCGCCGUGAUGCUGCUGCUGAUGGUGAACAUCAGUAGUGCCGACACCGGGGAUCUGCUGCUUGAUCUUGUCCACCAAGCCCUCCUUGUGUUCGCCGCCGUGAUACUGCUGCUGAUGGUGGACAUCAGUAGUGUGGUGGUCCCCACUAUGGUGCUCUCCCUUGUGCUUGUCCUCCUCCUUUUGCCCUCCUCCCAUGUGAAGGGCUUCUCCGAUCUUGUGAAUAACUCCUGACAUUUUCCCUUAAAAUGACUCUGUUCCUCUUCUUUUCUUUUCAAUGAAAAAUAGUUGUUUGCGAUCUUCUUCUGGUUGUUGUUGUUCUUGUUGGGUGAUCUUGGCUUGGUAUUUAUAGGCUCCAAAAGGAGGGACUAGAAUUAGGAUUAGAUUAUAGAUUAUUUUAAUACAUUUUAUGGCAAAUUCUGAUUUGGAAAGAUAAGAUUAUCCUUUUGGUUUUCCUUAUUUACCCUUUUGCACCCAUUACGUGUACGCGUCUUCGUGGGCUUUUUGGGUAUUUCAAUUAUAUCGCCAAUGCUAAAUCGACACGUUGCAUAUCAGCCGCGGUACUGCCGUAUGUAGUUGUCCAGAAAUCGAGUCGAUUCUCGAUCGUACAAUAAUUAAAUAAUAUUUCAUACGAAAUGAGUUUAGAUAUAUUUUGAAAAUUUAUUUUUAAUUUAAUUAUACGUGUUAUAUAUUUGUUAAUCGAAUAGAGGUCCCACGUAACAGAGUGUUUCUCUAAUCUUUCAUUGCUUUUAAUUAAUUUUACCCAAAUAAAAAAAAAAAGGAAAAUUUAGAGAGAGAGAGAGAGAUAGCGAAUUAGAAGUUGAUUGUAAUAUCGACACCUGUCAGACAAUCAAAUAUCGUUAGUUAAAAAUCAGUUGUCCAUAGUCAUGGUCAUAGAUGGCGAAAUUGAUACUUAUUUUAAAAAACAAAACAAAACAAAACGAAACGAAACUAAACUAACAGAUGUUGAAAUGCAGUUCCGUGUUAACAGUCUGUGAUGAAUCUUUAUCUUUGAGUAUACCAUUCAAGAAAUUAUCAUUCAAAAAUUUAUUUAAAGCAGCAGCAAAUCACCUUCUAAUUCCUGAAUCAAAUUAAUUCGAUUUUUUUCGAGUCGAUCAAUUCAUUAGAGAAUUAACGGGCUAAGUUAAAGUUUUGUUAGUUAUUUUUUUUUAUAUUCCUUUAGAUGAUAUGAUUGUCAUUGUCUUUCUUUCUCUGGGCAACAAUAAAUACAAGAUGUGCAAAAGCGUAGUGGAACAUAAUUCGAUUAUGGGUAAAGGGAUCAGUCCGCAUAAUGAGGAUAAAGUUUUUCUCUUUAAAAAAAUUUAACCCAAAGAAAAGGUCGUAGUUUGUAAUAGCCGACACGCAGAUAGAUCACAAAGCAUGGCGGUCCUGAUGGCAAUAACUAACUGAUAUCUUCUGCGAUGAGAGGAGAUCACGUGGUUCUGACACGUAUCGCCCCAUCAACUGAUGUUGUGGCUGCAAUCGCGGCCCAGUCUUUAGAGAGAAGAAAGAUCUGUUAUAACGGGACCUACUUUAGCAUCUAUUUACGACAAAGCCCCUAUUUACUCUACUUAGUAGUAAUAAUAGCAAGUGUCGGGCUUGGAUUCCGUGUUGCUUUAAAUAAAUAUCCGCGUAAAAAGAAAAUGCUUCUUUAAUCCCUUCCUUGUAAUUUUUCGACACGUGGAUGGUUGAAAUUAGCGUGCCGACAUCUUAGGAAUUUUAUCUUGGAGACGGGAACACUGCAGUAGGCAAUGCCAUUUUCUUCGGAUGGUGUGUGGUGACAACGCCUUGGAUUUUGACGUGCAAAGAAUUUAAAUUGAAAAAGAAAAAAAGAAAUUACCAGAAUAAGCAUAGAAGAGAUAUUUUUCUUUUUGUCCUUUUUGGAAUGGAAAAAGAGAUCAAGAGAUUGUUCCAGUAAGUAUUACACAUGUCACAGGCUUAUUCAUGCCCCAUUAUGGCAACUUUUAUGCCUCGCGGUGCCCUCGGUUCCAGCAUAAUAGCUAAGACUUCAAUUUUUCUAACAUAUUUUUGUUACAAAUAUGAACGGAGUAAAUGUAUAACUUUAAUCCUUUGAAUAAAGAAAUGGCGGUUCUCCUGCUCGUUAAUCUCACUUGAAUCCCACCCAGGCAAAAUUUCUUUAUUUUAUUUAACAACAAUUUAAAGAAAGAAACUUUUGCCAGGUUGAAUUUCAAGUGAGAUUCAUUCGUGGGAGAAGUGCCAUUUCUUUAUUCAAAAGAUUAUGGUAAUUACAACUUUCAAUUUCGACAUAAAUUAAAAUUAUAGGCUAUACAAUAAAAUUGCCCUAAAUUAGUCCUAAUCAAUUCAGAUUAUAAAUUUAGGUAUAUUUAUUAUUUUAAUAUAUUAAUGUUCUAUAUAUAUAUAUAUAUAUAUAUAUAUAUGUGUGUGUGUGUGUGUAUNNNNNNNNNNNNNNNNNNNNNNNNNNNNNNNNNNNNNNNNNNNNNNNNNNNNNNNNNNNNNNNNNNNNNNNNNNNNNNNNNNNNNNNNNNNNNNNNNNNNNNNNNNNNACAGCAGAAAAUAUUUGCUAUGGAUAAGGAGACAUGGUCCCACGUCCCACCGUCCCAAUGCAUAUUUUGUAUGUUUCCAUCUUUUCUGAAAUUUUAAUAAAUAAAGUUUUUUGACCACUUGGCCAAAGAACCUUACCCUUACACAACUUUGUGGUUGGAGUCCUGUGAUACAUGUAAGAACUUAUUUUUUUUCUUAAUUAUAAUAUUUUAGAAUAUAAUUAAGUGAAGUAGGUUUUUUUUUUAAAUAUGAGUAAAAUAGAUAUUUUUUAAAUAUUAAAGAGAGUAAAAUUUGAAUAAUAAUAUAUUAAAAUUAAUACAAACUAAUUUUAAUAAUUAUUUAAUUAUAAAUAUCAAUUAUAACAUCAUAUAAUAUCAAUUAUAAUAUCGUACAUCUCAAUUAAUUCAAUAAUAAUAAUAAUAAAUGUUUUUUGGGAUAAGUAAACAGUCGCAUGGCGACAAUAGUGGAUCUGGAUUAGAGUGAAGUGGUCCCAAGAGGCUGAGGCUGUGGCUGUGGAGUUCUAAAAGUCAAAAGCUCCACGCACUUUGUUUCAGUACCAUACACACUGAAAAAAUUUGCAUUUGCAAUGACGAAAACUUUUCACGAAAUCAAAACACCUCUAAACUAUUUUGUUAUCGAUAUUUAAUGGAGGGGUUUCCUACCUUUUUAACACUCGAUUCACGCCUUGACGCAUCUCACAGAAAACCUCAUGAUCCCAUUAAUCUUGCGUAACAUAUCUCAAAGCCAAUGCAAGUGAUCUUGUUGCCUACUUCCCUUUGACGAUUCAAAAUUGUUGAAAAUAAUUCUUUUUUUUUUUAACCUCAAGGAAGUGACAAAAUAUAAAAGAAUAUUUUCUACACAUUAAACAUCUAGAUUUUUUUUUCUUUUCUUUUUAGAGUACUUGCACAAACCGUUUCCAAGAGAGACCUUUUUUUUUUUUUUUUUUUUCCGGGCUUGGUUACUAAUUUGGUGUGAAUACUCUAUGGUGAAAAAGGAAUCACAAAGCUGUAAUCAAUUUUUUUGCAUCAUUUAGUUGUAACUUGAACAUUGGGAGGUUUAUAAAGAAUUAAAUUAAUUAUAAUGCCUCUACUAGGAAAAGUUCAGAGUAGCCCUUCACAACUUUUUAAAGGCUUAAUAAUUUUCGCUUUCUUCCUCUCAUAACAUAACAAAAAAUUAAGAGCUUUACUCGUACACGUCCUAUGGCUAUAUAGUAUUGGGUUCUCUACUUCAAUCGGCUAUCUCAAACCGAAGGUUAUUUGGACACACCAGCAGUCACGUUUGGAAACUCUCAAAUGCUUGGAUUGUAAUUCUUGUGGAUGAGAUCAUCUAAAUCUUGGGCCCAAGCCGGACAAUGGGUGGACAAAGAACCCUAAAAUACAGUAAAGCUUCUAACACCCCACUAAAACUCUUAAGAAAUCCUACCUUUUAUUUUUAUAUCUCUUUCUUUUAGAAAUUAUAGAGAAGACAUAGCAUUUUAAUUAUUUUCCCUGCCAUUGAAAAUAAAUUCUGUAAACAUAUUUUUUCAUAAUAAAAUUAUUGUUAUUAGAUAAUUUAUUUCUUCAUUGUUUCAAAAUUAUUAUAAUUUUAUCAACAAAAUUAGUUAUGUCAUAUAUUAGGAUUAAAAUUAAUUAGGAUCCAUAACUUGUAAAGACAUUUUAGUUUAAUUGAAUUCAUAUUUGUCAUUUUAUGUAAUUUUCAAUAAAAAUACGACUAUGAGUGCAAAAGUGGGAUGACAUAAUAUUAAAAGAGUGUGAAAUAAUCGGUAAUUGAAAUGGAUUGAAAUCAUAAUAGAGUAUGAAAAUCAGAAUAAAUUGUUUACUUUAGUUGUAGAAAUCAAAAUUAAAAUAAACCAUAUUAUCAUUGAUGUAUAUAUGUUUUCUUGUAAUCGAAAUGAAUUCUUAUAAGUUACUAUAAGACCCUUAUGGUGUGUUUACUAAUCAGAAAUCAGAAUGGAGUGGAAUUUGAAUAUAGAAUGGUAGGGGUAUUCGCGGAUCGGAUUUUACGGAUUGGACAUUAAUUCAUAUCCGAUCCAUAAUUUUACGGAUUAUAAAUUCUCAACACAAUCCAAAUCCAAUCUAUAUGUUUGCAGAUCGGAUGCGGAUUUGACUCAAUUCAUAUCCAAUCCACUAUUUGACGGAUUGAUUUUGGAAUUAAAAAUUUUUAAUUUUGUCCAAUCUAUGAGGUAAUUAAAUUUAAAAAUCUAAUAUAAAAAUAAUUUAUUAAAUAAAAAAUUAACGUAAAAAUAAUUUUACUACCAAUUAAAUUCAAAAUUGAACAAGAUUUAAAUAAAUUAAUUAUUUAAAUAAAACUAGAAUAAUUUAUUUAAAAUUUUUAAAUAUAACAUAUCGAAAAAAAAUUCAUUUGUUUAGAUUAAUAUAUGAAAAUUAACUAAAAUUAUGAAUUUAAAUGUUGAAAUUUGAGAGCUUGGAUGUAACAGGAAGAAAUUAAGAAACUUGAAGAACUUGAAAAGAAAGUAACAAAUUAAGCUUAACUACCUCUAAUGGUGAAGUGAAACAGUGAUGGUUUGUGCGUGCAAUGGGGUACAAAUUUGGCAUUAUAUGCCAAAAUAUUUUGUUUGGCUUUAGAAUUUUUAAUGUUUAGGAAGCUAUAUUUGUUUAUUUAAUUACUCAAAUAUUUAAUUAUUUUUUAUUUUAUGUUAUUAUUGAAUAAGAUAUAAUAUUGUGUUAAUUUAGCUAUACUUUAAUUAAUUAAUUAAUUUAUUAGUAAGUAGCAUUGCUACAUUUAUAAGUUUUAUUUUUUAUUAAAUAAAUACUUUUUUUUUUCAGAUUCACGAAUUUUUACGGAUUUACAGAAAUAAAUCCAUAUCUAAUCCAUCGACUGUGGUUUUUUAAAUUUUCAUUCCAAUCCGAUCUACCAAUCCACAAAUUAUAUUUUUACGGAUCGGACGAAUUGAGCGGAUCAAAUUGGGUUCUGAACACCCCUAGAGAAUGAGAAUCAAAAUAAAUUAUUUACUUUAGUUGUGUGAAUCGGAAUUGGAAUAAAUUGUACUGUCAUUGAUGUGUUUACUUUAUCUUGGAAUCAGAAUGAAUAAUUUCAAAUUACUAAACUGACCUUAAUUUUUUAUUGUAAUAAUAAUAGUAGUAGUAGUAGUAAUAGUAGUAAUUUUCUAUUAUUAUUAUUAUUUUCUCUCUCUUUUGUUUUUAUUUUUUUAUUUUUCUCUUCUUCUUCUCUUCCUCUUUUUUUAUUUUUCUCUAAUUCAUCGAUACUUCUUCUUCUUCUUUUUUCUUUCGUUUUUAUUUUUAAUUUUUCCCUUCUUUAUCGUUCCUUCUUCUCCGUCCAUUCUCUAUCUUCAAACUCUUUUUACUUUUUCUCUUAUUCUUCAUUACUUCUUCUCCCUUUUUUUUUUUUUUCUCUUCUUUAUUAAUUCUUCUUCUUCUGCGUCUAUUCUUCAUCUUCAAAUUAUCAAGUGAAAAAUACCCACGGUGCCUUACAAGAAGAAUUGGUUUUGUUUGCUUCAAUUAUUUUUUGUAUUUUGUACUUUUGAUUGUUUCAAAAGAGGAUAAACUUGUAAUAAUGCAAUUUAAGUAGGGAUGUUUUAGACAAUUUUGGGUAUGAGAGUCUAAUUCCCAACCCCCCACUCCCUCGUAGCAGACUCCCAUUCUUCAUUCCUAACUUGGUGUUGGACCUACUAAAAUAAAUCCCAUUCCCCUUCUUAUUUCAAGAAGCAAACACGAUUUUGAUUUCAAUUCCCCAAUCCGAAAGUAAACGCACAAAAAUUGUACCCAUAUGAGAUUGCUUAUCCUCGAGUUUUUAGAUUGAAAAAAAAAAAGGAAAAAAGAAUGGCCCCAUUAGGAAGGGAUUUUAAGUGUUAGAUAAAGCCGGUGUUAACCAUUAGAAGGUCUCCGACCUUCAACUGUAAUAUAUUAAACCCAGAUAAAUUUACAUAUAAAUCACACAAACCAACAUGCCAAUCAAAUAAAUUACAUCAACUAACAACAAUUGACACAUUAAUUUUCAUAAUACAGAGGAUGCAGAAAAUUAAAAUGUUUUAUCUUUUCUCCUUAUUUGUGAAUUGGAAAAUGAAAAUGUUAAACAUACAGAAGAGUGAAACAGGAUGGAUAUAUAUACACACACACACACACACAGCUUUGGAGUUCAAUGUCAUCGUAUUGCUCCAAGAAGAUUGGCGCCAUCAAGCUUUGCACCUUCCAGAUGCUGUUUAAUCAUCACCAUAACACCUUCAGUAGACAUUAAUACAUAAUAGAAACACAAAAUUCACAUGAUCUGAAUGUCUGGUCUAUUUUACUUACCGUAUCUCGAAGAUUUACGUGCCGUAAAUAAGCUCUUUGAAGGUUGGCACCCUUUAAAUUGGCAUUACGUAGCUUUGCACCCUGCCGCAUAAAUGUUCGAAGUUUCAACAAAUUAAAGUCUCCUGAGAAAUACAUGUCACGAAAAAGUAGGGCUGAAACUUGCAUCUAAUGUACAAGAUUCAAUCAGGGGUGCUUGUCCCACAGUGAAAGUGUAUGGGGGAAAGUGCACUUUCACAAACCAAAGGGGCAAGAUGUGAUUAUCACACGAUUACAAAAGGACUGUAGUCAAGAGAGAGAACUGAACAUGCAGCUUGUAUUGAGGCCAUGAAAAUUGAUGAAAAGCAGUAACAAGCAACCAUUUUGAAAACACUUCAUAUGGUCGAAUCAAUAAAUCAAAGCUAAAAUGAUGUUGACGAUCGAUAGCUUUUAGGUGAUAAGAGUCUUGGCACUACAGUUAAAAUUAUUAUCUAGGAGUGCACACAUUAAUAAAAAAAAACACAACCAAUAAGCAUGCACUCUUAAUCAGCAUAUAAAUUAACAAGUUAGUUGCACCUUAUGUUGUUCCACAAACAGAUUGCUCGAACAAUUCACAAUCUUACCUUCAAAUUAGCUCCUUCCAAAUUAGCUCCCUCUAGGUUGGCAUUAGUAAGAUCAGCAGUCUGAAAAGUCAAGAGGACAAACAGAUUGCAAUUUGAUUAAAAUCUCAAAGUAGCAACAUUCUGCAUGAAAGAAGAGCAGCACAAUUGGCAACAUACAUUUUAGAUUAAGAGGAUGGGAUAAAAGCAAAAUUACAAGGACAUGAAGCAAAUGAGCCAUGUUUAGUAUGGCAAUUUUGACCCAAUAAUUGUGGCAGGUCUUGGAGAUAACAUAGGCAUACACAUAAGGCAGAAGCAAAUACUGUCGCAAACUCCUAGCUAACUACAAAUGUUCCAUAUAGAAAAAAACACCUGCAAAAGUAAGGGAAAAAGCAACAGAUAAAGAACUCAAGAUGCUAGACCUGUAAGUGUGCAGAUCGCAGGUCUGCUCCACAGAAGCUGCAGUCUAUCAAGCAAGCAUCUGCAAUGAUUUAAGAUAAAUUUGAAUCCAAAUGACAUUUUACCGCAAGUAGUUCCAGCCAUUUUGGGAACAAACAAGAAAUGCUAUUUUGUAUUCAUUGUAAUUCCUUAAGCUAAAUAACAAUCAUGUGCUAUCUUAACCAAGGUACAGUUGCAAAUUCUGAAAUUGUGAUGCCAUAGGUUGUUCUUAAUCUUUUUGAACUGAAUAUUGAAAAAAUAUUCCUUCAAUCAUAAAUGUUAAAUAAUUAAAAGAACUGUGAGGGGGGNNNNNNNNNNNNNNNNNNNNNNNNNNNNNNNNNNNNNNNNNNNNNNNNNNNNNNNNNNNNNNNNNNNNNNNNNNNNNNNNNNNNNNNNNNNNNNNNNNNNNNNNNNNNNNNNNNGGGGGGGGGGGGGGGGGAAUGAAUAAGCGGAUGCAUACAGAAAAUUAUGGAAAAUCUGUUAUGGAAAUAAUAUGAAAAUGGGUAUGCAUAACUACAUACUGAAUCUUGACUAAUUUCAAUUUAAUUCAGAUAAGAAAUUCCAGUAUGGGAAUUGCCUUGUAAAUUUGCACUCUGAAGAUUUGCACCAGCUAGUAAAGCUCCACGAAGGUUUGCCCCAGCAAAUUCACAUCUUCCCUAGGCAAGAUAAAACCCUUAAAAGGCAAUUUUGAAAAAUACAUAUAAUUGGGAGAAUAUCCAGUAUUGCUUUGACUCUCUUACUCACGCAAAGUUGCAUUGUGAAAAAUGGAACCCUCAGCAUCCACAUCCUGUAUCAAGAACAGACAGAUUCAGUAUGAUUAAUAUAACUGGUUGCUGGAAGACAGGACAAAAUCGCAUCUUGUCACUGUCAACUUGCAUGUUAAGAAUUAAACACGAAAACUGCAUGCUGUCCAAUUAUAAGAAACCUAUAAAAUUCAAAUCAACAUCAAUACUGGCUUAAGGAAGAUAUAAAAAUAAAAAUUAUACCAACCCGAAAUUUCGCAGAUUGAAGAUUUGCACGUGAGAAGAAAACAUUUCUAAGACACGCAUAGCUGAAGUCCACAAGUGAAAGAUCCUGGCCAUUUUAAUAAGAUAGCAUCAGAGGAAACAAUAUCUAAUGAAUAUAUAAUGUUCUUUCUUGCUUAUCUGAGAAUACUAAUGAGAUUAUCAAAAAAACUCUAAGCUACUGCUAAGAAGUCUUGUGUUACAUGAGUAUGAAUUGAGGAGGUAAAGAAGACCCUUCUCCAAUAAGUUACCAUAGAAGCCACAUAAAACCCUAAAGCAGUUACAAACUUACAAUGACCAGAAUAAACCACCCCAACUAUCUAUUGGCAAGUAAAAUCACUUCUCUGGAUUUCUGAAAACUAGCAAAACAAAUGCAUAAAUUGGCAAAUUCGAUGAUUUCCUCUGAAAACCAAAUUAUAGCAGACAUAAAACUUGGAAGUAUUCAUAGAAUAAAAAUCUUUCAAGCACCUCAAUUCAGUAAUUAUUACCAGCUUAGAAAGAUCAAGGCCAGAAAGAUUAAGUCCUCGAAAUCUGACUUUUUCAGACUGUAUACACUUGAUGAUAUCAAUGCGUGUUAGCUCAGUAUCUAACUCAUUAUCUUCCUUUCUCUUAUUUAUGACAGCAUGGAUUCUCUCAAUUAGUCCCUGAAAUGAAACACAUUAGAUGCAAACUAUUAUUUGAAAAAAGAAAUACAUUUUAUCCACUAACACACAUGGAUUUCAACAGCAAUCAUACAAUAAUUGAGGAAGGACGGUCAUAUCAGACUCAUCUGCCAAGAUUCAAUAAGCACAUCAAACUUGUUUACAUGUAAUUUCCACAUUCCACGUGAAUUUAUAAGGUCUGCCUAAGCAAACCAAAGAAGGCUACACUCAGUACUGUGUGUAUACUGCCUUACCUUUGCUGUUCCCCAGAUACCGUCCUGCAAUCCAGAUACUUAGCUGUGAAGUUUCAAGCCAGCGAAACCAUUUUAAAAGUACACAUGGACACAGAUACCAUUAUCUGAAUCAUCUUCGAUAACAAAUUAAAAUGCCCUAGCGUUCAAAAAACUUAGGAUCUCUUUAAGUGAAGUUCCUUUAAAAAAGUAGAAAAAAACUGAACAACAAUGUCAUGCUAAUAAAAGGUAAAAAAAAUAAAAUAAAAUAAAGCAUAAGGACAGAAGUUCACCAGGAGCAUGCCAGUAUAAACCAAAACGACCACAAAUCUCAACCAUAAAAUUUAAAGUAGUAAAGUAAAUAAUCAAGGGCAUGCAGUUGGCACAGGUGCUUCCAAAUAAAAUGAUGAUUCUUUUCAAACAGAAAAAAGAAAUGGAUGUUAAUAAACUAGAAGAAACCAUGUCUUACAAGUAAUUGAUAAUAUUCUGCUUCCCGUAGAAGCUCUAAAAACUCUGACUCUGUUAAUGUGGGGACAGCCCCAUCCCUUAACCAAUUCAGAAUAUGCCGAAAAUGUUUUCCGUCCCUAUCAACAAAGAUAUAGCCCUGCAAUAAUUCAAUAUGCUCAAAGAUAAGAAUCUGAAUAAUAUACCCAAGAGAAGUGCUUUUCCCUGGAAUAAUAAAAAGAAAAUAAGUCAAAACGUUUUUCUUAAUGGAAGAACACAAAGGAACAGCUCUAUGACUAACAUGAAAACCAUAAAUCAGAAUAAGAACCCAAAACUGGUCAUUUGGAGUUUCACCAGAUCAAAAAGAUCACAUGGAAAUAAAAUUGUGAAAAUGGGAUUAUUUAUGCCGAGGUCAUGGCUAAACUGCAAUCAUUACUCCAUUUUUGGUAGAAGGAGAAGAAGAAAGAAGAGUAGGUGAGUCAUCAUUCUUUCAGGUGAGUCAUCAUUCUUUCUCUGUGAUUAAUUGAUAUGAUGGAAGUGUUGUAGAUAUUAAUUUGAUAGUGAUUCCUCCCUUCAAAAGAAUUCAUUCCUUUUUUUAUUAUUUCACAAAGUUUAACUAAGACUGAGUUUUCUCAAUUUGAAGGCAUCGUGCACUCUACCCCUUUCUUUUCCUCACAUUGCUUCUUCCCAAUCCCAAAGGGAAGAAAUCAAGAAACAAUUACAAUUUUUAACUAUUCACCAGCAAAAACAAGGCAAAGAAAGAUGCUGAGUGUAAGCAAAAAUAAGAGAGUUAUACACCUCAGAGUCUUGGCACACAGUAUGGCGACCGCUGAACAUAGCUGCAAGCAUAGAUUCAGGCUCACGACGAGUCAGAGUAUCAAUUGUUGUAUAAAAUUUCUUUCCCCCUGGAUAUUAAUACAUAAAAUAUAAAUUUGUUCACUUAAAAGCAUGAAUUGUGCAAAUUUGUCAAUAAUGUCAUUCUUUCACAAACGUUCACCGAAAUGUAUAACAAUAAGUGCAUCAUAACAUAACUAAACGGCUUAAGAACUGCGCAGAUAUUACAUACAGUAGAGAAACAAGAAAUAGAAAAUGAGAUUUGCCCUUUUUAAACAGAAAGCAAUCAAAGAGUAAACUAAAGAGCUAAUAAUUCACAAAAUUCAGUUGAUUAAACUCAUUUACAAGUAAUUAGCAACAAAAUCCAAGCUAAAUAAAAAUAAUGAAAAUUAGGUUCUUAUAACAUCCGUCAAUUCUAUGAAAGUUUACCACGAUCAGCAACAAAUAGAUAAAUCGCAAUAAAGAAAAACCGACGACAUGUCGGUUGUGUAGUGCAUAAGUAAAGGAAUUUGCAGAUGAUGUAAAGAGAAUGAGGGAUAGUAACUGACCGAUGUUGAGACGAACCAUUGAAGACGAAUCGGAGUCCUUCGCCAUUGUCGAGUGUAAUGACUUGUCGUCUUACUUGCGCUCAUAGGUAUUUAUAUCAUAGCUGACACUGUUCGAAGGACAGCAAGGAUUUGGUGGGCACAAAUGCAUUUUGGAAAUUGGGCUUCGGCCCAAGAAAUCGAAAAUCAGAGGCUUUUUUUUAAAAAAAAUUUAAAAGGAUUAGAAUGUCUAUAAAUUAAUAGGGCUGAGACCAUCUUAAAUCUAUUAAGUAAAAGAGAUAUUAAAUAUUUUAUUAAUUAAUAAUUUAUUAAUUUACAGAAUUAUUUAUAAUUCAAUUAACAUACAUUUAAUAACUAAACAUUCAAUGUACAUAAUUUCUGAUUACAAUUCAAAGCACUAACAAUACUUCAUAAUUUCUUAUUACAAUUCAAGAAUUCAACCUCAUAGCUUUUAGAUGCAAUAAGAAAAAUAAGAAAUAAGAUUCAGUUAUAUUUAAAUUUUAAGAAAAAAACAAUAAAAUCAUAUUUUAUGUAAUUAAAAUAUCAUAGUCAACUACAUUUGUAAUUUCAACAAAUUAUUACUCUAUGAUUUAAAUGAGACCACAAAGUUAUAUAAGAUUUUAUCGAAAUUAUUAAUUUAAUCCAUUAGUCCAUGUCAAGACCUUGAAAAUUUAAUAAUUAUAUAAUAGAGAUUAUUAAUUUAUCGAGUAUUAAUUUAUAGAAGUUCUGAUUGUAUAUUAUUUUAUAUUAAUAAAGAAUAAAGUAGCAUUCUUUUUUAAUUCCGAAGUAAUAAAAUUAUGGCUAAAUUAAGAGAGUAGAUAUAUUUUAUAACUUGGUUUAAUAACAUCACGCGCCUCCCUUGUAGUUUUGCAGCUUUGAAGCUUUAUAAUGAAUCCUAUUAGCUUUGGCUGGAAAGUUAUAUUGUUAAAGAGAGUUUAUAUAUUAAACAAGGUGAUCUAAUAUUUCCAAAACUAAAUUUGGGAUCAAAAAUAGAAAACAUUUGCAUGUUUUUACCUUUUGGAAGAAUUACUUGAUAAGUGCUUCACAGAAAAAUGCUUGCUAUUAUAGAGCACCCUAAAAAAAAUCCUUAAUAAUUGAGGGAUCAUAAUAAAGUUCAAUUCUAAAUCUGUCAGAUAGAUCGAAAGUAACAAACCAUAUAUAUUUAAAUCUAUUUAGUAAUCCAGGGUUACAAGCCAAGCGUGCAAUAGCCAAUUCUGAAAAUCAAAGCUCAGCCUAUGCUCUCUGAGCACAAAUAAGAUCUGAUAUAUACAUAUCGAAUCCUCCAUUAUGUGGAGUGAAAUUUCCAUCGUGUACGGUGUACCUAACAAUGAGAAAGCAUGGCAGCAUAAAUUCAUCUUCCAUGUUAUUCUACUUAUUAGUACUGGUUCCCUCAUAACUUCUCCAAAUCGGGGAGGUCUGCAAUGUGUAAAGCACGUAAUCAGAUAAAAGAAAGAGAGCCAAAAAAAAAAAAAAAGGUAACAGCCAAAAGAUUAAAUUUCUUUGAGAAAUAGAAAAUGGGAGCUUUUGGCAUAGGCACAGAAUAGAAAGUAACAGAGUCAUUUACAGUUGUUCAGAAUAUGCAAGCUGAAAACAACUUUGAAUGCAAUGGACAAUUCCUCCAACAAACAAUCGAAUUGGAUUGUGGAAGAGACAAAAGCUUAAUGAGGUUAUGGUUUUGGCUAGGUGAACUCAAAAUUCUUUUAUAGACCAAGUAGGUAAAAACAAAUCCCAUAUAGAUGGAUGAACCUCAUACCAUGAACAGUUAAUCGCGAACACUUGCAGGCUUAUGCACACGACUAUGAAGAUACUAAGGGUUUCACCGAUGGUAAGUGAAAAAUAUAUGAUGUAUAAUUUAAAUGGAAGCACAUAGUUUCGGAUUGAAUUCAAGGUUAAAGUUCCACAGACAGACAGAAGAGAUGAAGCUUAAAAACUUACAGAGCAUUCCUUCAUCAUCACUGCUUUCAUCAUUUUGGCCAACAUGCUGAAAAAAGAAUAUGAUUCAAGUUAAAUGAUUGAGCAACAAUAAAAAACGUGCAAAAUUAAUGCUCUCUCCACAAAAAUUUCAGUCUAUAUUGGUAAGAAGAAACAGGAAGAAAAAAUUACCUCAGCAUCAUCGUCAUUGGAAGCCAAAUCAGCUGUAAAGACCACAAAAUGUUUGGUUAGAACCAGUGGAAGUCUUACUCUAAAAUUUUUAAUUUUUGAAUUUCGAAAGAUCUCGUAAUGACAAAGAUUUUCAUAUCCAGUGACCAAGUUUUGAAAAUUAGAAUACGGAAUGACAUCAACUAAAUUCACUAAUAUAAGCUAGAGGAAUCCCUAGUAGAUAUAGCGCACAUGCACACAUGAUAUGCAUCCGAAUACACAAUAAUAAAUUAUCUCAAAGUCAAUAAGAAGCCAAAAUUAGAGAUAAACUUUUAGCCACUAUAAGGAAGACUGAUAUUUGCAGUGUGAUUACAAUAAACAAACAGAAACUUCACUACCCAUAAGUAAAACAAAAUAAAUAAAGGAUAAUAACUAACCAAGAAAUGGAAAAGCUCACAUUCUCUGAACACGCACCCCAAAAAGAAAGAAAGAAAUAAAUGUUCUCAUUGGAUCUGAAGCACAAGCAAUCCACUGACAUCCUUCUAUAAUUAGGUAAUUUAAAGGGGUUAAGCUCACAUCUUUUACGGAAGUAAGAAGAGAAUUAACAACCUUCCAGAGGAUUUAGGGAAAUACCACGAGGCAAGAAAAAAGAAAUAUCCUUCUUCAAUCUAGAUAUCCUGAUACUGCUCACCAUCUACAACAGUCUGUGGCUUAAAAAGCAGGUCACUGAUCUCUCCCUCCCUCUGGCACCAUUUUCUCUCAUGUCUCAUUUUUCCCUUCCUGCCAACUCCCACUACAGUAUUGAAACCUAUUCUAUCAACUCUUCCCCCUCCAAUAACAAGACCAAAACCAAUUUUACUCGCCGGUUAGCUAGGUAGUAAAUGGAAAUUUGUGAAUCUGUCAUUCAUCCGUAGAAACAAACCAGAACUGCAUAAAUUCUCUUCUCUCCCAACAGCUUCUUUUCUCCAGAAAUAGGCACAAGUAUUUGACAUGGAAACAGUUUAUCUAACAUGGCCACCUUUAAAGACAAAGACAUACUAAGGACGUGGUUUUAGAUACGGAUACAAGAAACAAUCACAAAAUGUAAAAUCUAUACAUAUGAUAUUAAUUUCCAAUGGAUACAGCAAUUCAUUCUUUGACAUAACUUCAUCAGAUUACUAGGUUUGAUUAGGUUAUACACACAUUUAUUCAUUUAUUGAAUCUACAUGCACUUAGAAUGAGAGGUACCUAUAAAAACAAGUUACCAGAAAACAAUACAGCUAGAAAACAUUAAUCUAAGUAGUUCUAUAGGUUUAACUAACUGCAGGAAAAAACCAUUGAUUUUGUCCGCCAGAUUAUCGAGAUCCUAAUUCUGGUAAAAAGAAAAUGAGAUAAUAGAAAAUCAAAAAUUAAAUAGACACAAAAUGAGAAAUCAAGAUCAUAUGGCAACUAAUAUAUAGCAUGGGCUGCAGCUAACAAGCAAUAUAAGCCAUGAUAUUAUGCCAGAUACAAAUUUUGAGAUCCAAGAGAGAUCAAGAAGCAUGAAUACCACUAAAAUAUCGAAAGAAGUGAGUGCAGAAGGAUAAGAAAUCAGGUUGAUAUUCUUCAUACUUUGGAUCAACACGUAGUGAUGCAAUAAACUUGUAAUUAGCUUCAAAUGUAUAGGCUACCAUGUCAACAUUUCCGAAAACACACAAGAUUGUGCUGGAUUCAUACAUAGUACAUAUAUAAAAAAACAAUCUGCUUCUAAACUUCAUGAGAACAUCGAAUAAUGAACUUACAAUUUGAUCCCUCAUCAUCUUCAUCGCACCAUUUGUUCCAAUCAACCUUAAUGUAAGGUGCUGGUUUCUCUUCUGACUUGAGUAGCCUUUUCCACCAACCUUUCUCUUCUUUUUGGACCGAGCAUAUUAUGUUCCUUAAGCCAACUUUAGUCUUACAUUUCUGCACCACCAGCAACAAAACUCAAAGCAUUACAAAAGAGGUAUAUUUAGCCGCUCUUGACUCGAGUGAGAGAACAGGAUAAAUAGCCUAGGUAUAUCCACAUCCAUGUUAUGAGAUUGAUUAUGCAACAGCUAACUUUAAUAUAAAGCUUUUGCUUCAACAAAGACUAAAAUGUUUGUAAUUGUUAUGCUUUUGGAGCUAAAAUGUUUGGCAAACACCCACUUUUACUCUGCACCUAAUAUCUACCACCCACCCACACACUAAGUCUCUCGUUUGGUACAGCUAUUUAUCAGUAGUGGCUUUAAGCCACAACAUUUAAAGCGAAUUUACCCUAAAAUUUUACAAUGAAAAACCUAUACUACCUUUAACAUUGUUGUCAAAAUUAUUAUUAUAAGUAAUAUUUACCAAACACUAUCAACUUCCAAUUCAUAUCAAAGAGCUUUCACUCCACAAUAGCCGUGUCUUCUUAAGCCAGAACAACACAAUACCAAAGGCCUUAAGCUAGUGAUUUGAUUUCACAACAACUGCAGAUCAAGCCUCAAUCCCAAACAUACAUAAAUCAAAUGCAGAAAGCAAAAAUUUAACAAUAUGUUUGGUAUACUAAAUGUCUUUCAUAGUUUCAUUUCACAGGGUAUUUAGACAUGCAAUGAUAAAUUGGAGCAAUUUCAAGAACCGAAUUGACCUCAGGUAAAAUUUUGCCAAAAAGUUCCAAGCUGAAGUCGUAAAGCUCGCCUUGGACUCCGACGGCCGAGAAGCCAAAAAUCCCCUGAGGCUCGCAUUUCACAGAAAUGUCUUUCGCAUCGGGUAAUGAAAUGGUAAGGUAUACUUUAUCGGAGCGCUGAGCCCAAAGAACCUCCGGAUGGCGACUGAACAUAAAAGAAAUAAUAAUAAUAAUAAUAUUAUUAUUUUUUAUUGUGACAAUUUUGAACUAAUAAUUAGAGACAUUUAACAACAAUAUUGAUUAAUAUUGGAGAAGAAAAAUAAGGUUACAAGAGAGAAUCAGAAAGAUUACCUCAUUCUGGUGGAUGAUUGAAAACGGUGGGUCGAUUGAUGAACAGAAGUGUAACUGUCUGGGAGUGAGAGUGACUCUGCUGUUUACUGGGUAGAGUGUGCUUACUCGAAGAAAUUGAAAGUGAUAAUCUCGGGCAAGCCAACACGUCGAUUUGGUCAACAGUGGUCCAACAAACCAGGAACUAGGUUUUUUUUUUUAAAUGAUUUUUUUUUUCAGUAUUAUAUUGCCCCGCCCGUGGGCUAUUACAUUUUGGCCCUUUUGGGGACCCCUCGUUCUCUUACAAGAAGGGAAUAUUCUUUUCCAUCCACCGGUUUGUAGGCAGAGUACAUAUACUCUUCGAAAUUAAGGACAAAUUUCUGAAUCGUGCCGCAUUAGAAUUAAAUUGAGUCUCAAAAGAAUUUUGGUUAUAAGUAUAUCGUUCAAACGGUAAUAUAUUAAAAAAAAUAAUAUUUACUACAAUGUAGACCUAUCGGGACUUUGAAGCCCAGACCAAUUCUUGAGUCUAGCCUAAUAACACCUCAACAGAUCAAAAUUGAAAUCCAACUUAAAUUUCAAUAUUGUGUAGGGAUCUGCCUUAAUUUAGAUAUGUCAAGACCUGCCUUAGGCAUCAAAGUGAUCUAUCUUAACAUAACUAAGACUUUCUUUAAACAUCACAAUGAUUUAUCUUAACGUAGUCAAAUCUAGCCUAAAAAAAUCUAAAGAAGGAAAAAAGAAAUUAUUUUCACGUAUUGAGAGACUUAAAUUCUUAACCUUAUUCAUAAGAAAAAAAAGUGUAUUACUUAACUAAAUCGUGACUAAAAAUUAUAAUUAUUAUUUUUUGUACAUUUAGCUUUAAAAAAUCAUUAUAUAUAUAUAUUCAUAUAAGUUUUGACAUAAUAUACAUACCACUUAUUUGUUUUUUAAAUUAUACGAGAAUGAAAAAACUCAAGCAUUAAACACCAACUUUUGUUUCAUGCUAUCAAUCAACUUGAGAAAUUUUAUAAUAUAUCGGAAGUUCUACGUCACAAUUUAAUACGAAGCCUUCGAUUAAUAAUAAUUAGACACAUGACAAUAGAUGCUAGAGAAAUUUUAAAUUCCCUCUUUUCAUUAUCCCUCCAAAUUUAGAAUUUCAAAAAAUUAGAGAAUAAAUGUUGCUUGCUCUCUUUGUUAUCUAAUUCUAAUUAUUAUUUUUUUCUCUCUCUCUCCAAUCAAGUUGCUAGCAUUUUUUAAAUCUAUUGAAGAAUAAGAAGAAGGUUUUUGUCGAUGAAAUGAUUUUGGCAGCCUUUUUUACCCAAAGCUAACAUGAUUGCUGCGACUACCAAUGAAGAAAAAGAUGUGUUUUGCUGGCGAAGAAGAUGAUUUUUGAAGCAUGAGUGGCUGCCGUUUAUUUUUUUCCUUCAUAUUUUUCGAUGUAGUGGCUGUCCUCAAGUUUUAUUCAUUUACUUUUCAGUUGGCCUACUAUUUAUUGGCAUAAUGAAAAAUUUUAUUUUAAUAAGCAUUUAUAGAUUAAUUUGAGGAGGUUUCUUUUGCAAUAUUAGUGUGGUUUCUGCAUUGGUAUGAUUUAAAUUACGAACUUGCUACAAUCUUUAAUUAAACUGUCAAAAGUAAUUUAAAAAAUCUUUAAUUAAACCGUCAAAAGUAAUUUAAAAACUGACAGUAGAUAGAUUAGAGAUAGGCUUGACAAUUUAGCCCGACUCUAUUUUUAGUCUGAUUGAUCCGAUCCUAAUUUUUAAGACUUUGGCCUGAAUUUUUUGAUUUCGGGUCGGGUUCGGGUCAAAAUUUUAAGGCCCGAACAAAUUUAGGGUCAGGGUCGGACUUAAAACCAACCCGACCCGACCCUAUUUAAAAAAAAAAAAACUAACACACGCACACAACACAUGACAGUUCACUCUCUCUAAAUCGUAAAUCACACACACAAAAUACACUUACACAAAUUCACAAAAACCCUAAGCCAGCCACCCAGCCUGCUGCCGUCCUAUCAGCCAACAUCGUGACCGUCCGCCGCACGCCAGCCAAUCAGCCGUCGUCUCGUCGUCGCAUGUCUCACCAAUCAGCCAUCGUGACCGUCUGCGACGCUGCGACAUGAACUUGAACCAGCCGCCCUUUGUCGCCGUCCUGCCGCAUCCGCCUGCCAGCCAACGAUCAAUGCACACAGUUGAAUUGUGGGGUGGGAAAUGGUUUCGAUAGGGUCGGGCUCGACCCGACCCUAACUAUAAAGAGGUAGGGCUUUUUUAGGGUCGGGUUUUAAUUUUUUGUUGAUCGGGUCGGGUCGGGUUUGGCCAAACCCGAGCCCGACCCGACGUUUUGCCAUCCCUAAUUAGAGAUGAAGAUUGGAGAGAGAGAAAAAUAUAAUUUGAAUGAGAUAAUAAAGAGAGAAGAAAUUCUAUAAUACAUCAUAAGUAAUAUAACUCAUUGAUGUAUGCAUGAUAUAUGUAAUUAACCUUAAUAUAACUAACACUUGUAUGGUGAUAUUUCAAAAUAAAUAUACAUAUGUUAUAAAAUCAUUUACUUAUUGUAUGACUGACAUUUUAUUUUUGAUGUAUUGUACAAUUUCUCAGAAGAGAGUAGUAUUUAUUAUCUCUAAUUUUUUGAAAUUCUAAAUUUUGGAAGGAUAAUAGAAAGAGAAAUUUUAAAAAUUUUUCAACGUAUAAUGCCAUGUAUCUAAUUAUUAUUAGUCGGUGUUCCACGUUAAAACGUAAUAUAGAACCUCUGGACCUUACUGUAUAAUGUACUGUAGAAUUUCCUGAUCACACACUUUCUCAGUUGCAAAAGAGGUGGGCAUAUGAGUUCCUUACGGGGAUUUAGUGUGAAUCCACGCAAAGCCCAUAUAGAUUUUUCCGGUUAACCGCUAUGGCAUCCUAGUUUUAAACUCAGUACUAAAUUUACAGAUCCAUUUAAACCCCCCAAAUCAGUCUCUCACCGUCUCAAGUCUCAAACAAAAAACCUGACCGGAACCCAAACCGCCAAAUCCGAUUCGAUGGUGGACUGUGCUAAAACCCCUAAAAUUCCAAGACUGACAUGCGGUAAAGGAGAUGGUGAUAGACUUAGCAAUCUUCCGGAGCACAUCAUUUAUCACAUAUUCUCGUUCAUGGAAACAGUUGAUGUUGUUAGAGCAAGCACUGUUUCGCGAAGAUGGAGGUACUUGUGGCUUUCCGUUCCUUAUUUGAACUUCGACUAUCACACAAUUUGGUCAGACCCGGAAAGUAGAUGGUCUCGUAGGAAAAUCAAUGAUAAGUUCAAAGAUUUUGUCAACUGGGUAAUAUUUUCUCAAAAUGGGUCUGUUAAUAUUCAAAGAUUUCGUCUUUGCUGCUGGGAUUAUUUAGCAAGUUACGAUAACGAUAGAACGAUUUACAGAUGGGUUUCUGCUAUGGCACGUCGAAACGUGCAAGUGCUUGAUCUGGCUAUAGCUUCACUAUACCCAUUUGAGUUUGACUUGCCACAUAGUCUUGUAACUUGUGAUUCAUUGGUGGAACUGAAGUUGAGUUUGAGCUUUCAUGUUCACCGAUGUUUUUUAAAGCUGCCUACUGCUGCUGGUUUUAUUGGGCUCAAGUCUCUUGAUUUACAAAGUGUUGCGUUGGAUGAUAAUUUGUUUCCUGAAUUUAUUUCAAAUCUUCCCCUGCUUGAGAAUUUGUGUAUGUUGUCAUGUGUUUUUCCUGAAUUGAAGGUUCUUGACAUUUCUUCCACUAAUUUGAAGAAUUUGGCUCUGGAAUCCAUUGUUGGCAAUGAUAAUGCUGGCAAUGAUGAUGCUGGCAAUGAUGAUGCUGGCAACUACAAGCUUAAGAUUGCUUGUCCAAAUCUUGUGUCUUUUAAUUAUAUAGCUUUAGCUCCAUGGUUACCUCACUUUGCUUUUGAGAGCUUAAACUCCUUGCAAAAUGCAUUCAUUGACCUGGAUGAUUAUAACGAGGAUGACAUGGAGAACGAAAGAUGUCAUGUUUUAUCUACAAUCUUCAAUGACUUUCGUGAAGUUAAAGUUUUGAAAUUAUCAGAAGCCAUUCUUCUCGAGGUAUGAUUUCAAAUACAUUCAUUGCACCAAAUCAUGAUUCUGCCAGAACUUGUCUACACUUUUUUAUUUUGACAUUAGAAAUGAAGCUUAAGUAAACUGAAUCUACUUUCUUUGUUUGGUAAAAUAAGAAUUCUAUUGAUUAUGGAACCUUCCUAAAUGCUAAUUUGUUCUUUAGACUGUGUAUAAGUCAUUGUGACAUUGUAUGAAGUCUCAUUUAUCUGAGUAAUCAAUUGUUAUUGAUGUCAAAGACUAGAACUCAUUGGUGACUUGAGUUUAUGUAUAUUAUCGUUUGUUAGAUUUUUUGUGUGAUUAUUGCACUUAACUUGACUAAUGUAUUCUCUUUCUUUUUGCCAUUGUUCCUCCAGGUUCUUGAUCCUGAUCCUGCUCACGAAGAACCAGCAUUUUUUUCCACUUCAUUCAAUAAUUUGAAGUCCUUAAUACUUUCUGCAGGUCCGGGUGUAUGUCUCAUGCCAUCAAUGCUUAGGUUGCUCAACUGCUCUCCAAAUCUAGAAGCUCUUGCAAUAUAUUCUCCUAAGGUAAUCUUAACACCAAAAACUAUUCCAUUUGUUAGAUACCGUCGCUUCUAUCCAUUUUUUUUAAAAAUCAUAUCUCCCAUUUAUGUGCUAAAAUUUUAAUUUUGUUAAAGUGCAACUGGGCUUUGCUUAAAUUAUCGCAAUAGAGUUGAAACCUGAAAGUAUUUGUGAUAUAUUAUGUUUACCGCUUAGAGCUUAAAGUAAAUGUUAAUCUUGUGGCCUCUUGGUUGUUCCCAUGCUAUUGCUUGUUGAGCAGAUGGUUGAAUUUAGAGUCAAUCAAUCGGUUGUGUUCUUCUGAGGUUUGUGCAAGUUUUGUAAAAGAGCAAAGUUUAGUAUUUGUUUAGUUUGUGAAAAUGAUAUAGCUUUUUCUAAUUCAUCUUACUCUAUUCUUUGCUUAAAAAUGAAUUCUCCUUUUGAUUUGAUUCCUUGACUGCAUUUCGGUCUGUUUUCUCUUGGCAGCAUCGGCGUGGAUAUAAUGCUUAUAGGAAAACACCGAACAAGGCUGCUAUUUCAUGUUUGACAAAUCAUCUCAAGACAGUUGAAAUAAAACAUUUUAGCGGUGAUAUGAAUCAACUUGAAAUUGUGAGGUUUCUUCUAAGGAAUGGACAUGUAUUGCAGAGAAUGAGUAUUAGAUGGGUGGCAGAUGUUAAGAAUCAAGGGAAGAUUAUCUCAAGGAUAAUGAAGUUUCGGAGAUCAUCUUCAAGUGUUGUGCUGAAAUUCCUAGAUCCUAAGCCAGCUGAUGAUUUUUCAGAUUAUUUAUUUGAUGAUGAGCAAAAGAACUAAAAUUAUGUUUAAAUUAAAAAAAAAAAAAGUGGUUUAAGUGUAUGUUCGAAUUAAAUAGUCUUUUGGAUUUGUAGAAACUGAAAGGAGUACAGUGCCAGUCACUGUGGCAGCCUUAUGUUUUGUUUGAAAAAAUUCGGAAGCUUCUAAAUUGUUAUAUACCUCAAUUCUGAAGUCGUUAGUAUGUAUAUUAUAAGCAAUACAUAUGUUCCAUUUGUCAUAUUUUAUUUUGGCAUUACGAUUGUUUUGUCUUGAUUAAUAUUGAUUAUAAUUUGUUUAACAUUUAUCUGGCAUAUGUAGAAUUAUACUUUAUCUGAGUAGAUGACGCUGCUGCGUACAUCUUCAGGACUCGGUCAUAAACUGUUUAUCUCUGCGUCUGUCUAGCAUCCAUCCACGUAUGACCUGUCGGCUUUUUGCCCGCAAGCAUACAGUUAGGGGUGGUAAAAAUAUCUGUCCGGUCUGGAUUCGGUUCGCACCCGGAUGUUUUAUCCGGCCCGGUCUUGGGCAUCAUUUGAUAAAUUCGGAACCCGAGUUUUAUUAAGCGCCUUGGCCGUACAGCAGUAUAUUAUUUUAAAUAUUUAUAUUUAUUUGACUCAUUUAUUACAUAUAUAUAAAGUUUUAGACACUUAAAGUUUAUAUUUUCAUGUCAAAUUUCAUUAAAAUAAAUUUAAAACUUAUAAAAUUACCAAAAAAUAAAAAAUAUAUACAUAUAUAAUAUUAAAAAAUAUAAAAUCUGGGUACCCAAAUUAAAACCCGGCACAAUCCGACCCAGGCAUCUAUGCAUCCGGGUCGGGUCCGGUCAUUACGAUACCCCGACCCAGCCCAGGGUUUUGCCAUCCCUACAUGCAGUGUAUAUGAAUUGCAGUUCUUGUACGGACAACAUGUCAUCCAUAAAACUCGAGUUAUGUUCUUUUUAAUCUUUAGUUUAGAUUACAUUUUGCAAAACUAAUAAACGAUAGAGCUCCUAGCAAGGUCAAUAGUUAACUGCGAAUCCAGAAGAUCGGAAUGCUAUACCUUUCAAACAUGCAUUUCAAAGCCAUCUGCGGAAAUGGAAAACAAGCAUUUCAAACUCGUUGUUAAAACAAUGAUAAAAGUAAUUUUAAUCCUAAUUUUUAAUUCCAGGCAUGAAGCUAACUCAUAUACAAAGAGAUAUCAAGUAAGCAGAGGCGAAAGCUAAAAGCUUUGGUUACAGGGGUCGGUGUGAAUAAUGUAUAUAUCGUUUAGACAUAUUUUUGAAUAUCUAUUUUAAUUUAGGGGAUAUUAUAUAUAUUUAAAAAAAAUUAAAAUUUUUACGGGAGCCAUGGCUUACUAUAGUCUCCAUUAAGAUUCACCCUCCCUACUUUUCGUACUUCAUUAAAGUAUAGGAUAAAUAUUUACAAUAUUAUAAAUAGAUUUUAUAAAAGCAGUCCAUAUAUGAAAGUCCUUCUGCACUCUGAAUUAAAUAAAAAUAACGUGAGACUAACAAUUUAAGAGUCUUUUUUGCAACGUAUAUCGUGCAGUGAUGUACUCUAUCGACGGAGGACUCUCUUCAUAUGCUUUUUAUUUUUCCAUGCCUGAUUAUAAAUAGGAUCACUCUAUGUUACAUUAAACGUAACGUACACACACUCACAACAACAGUAACAAGUCCCAUCAUUAGAACUGUUGCUGUGAGUGCGUGUAUGUUACGUUUAACGUAACAUAUCACUAGCCUUAUAAAUAACAUCACUUUUAAGGAUUUUUACAAAUUUUUAUUACAACCGUAACUUUUGUCCUCAUACAAUAACGGUGUCCAUUGUCCACAUAUAAAAAGUUCAUCAAUAAACAUAUAACCUAAUUAAAAUUCGUGACAAAAUCCAAAGGAAAGAAAGCGUGGAGUAAUAUAUAUAACAAAGGCAUUGAGCAUACACCAGGUGUAAUUUGCAUUGCAUGGCCACCCUUACGUGGCAGUUCCGCCGAUUAACACAUCUUUAAAAGUUAAAGCCCCCCUCUCUCCUUGUUAAGGGCGUUUCAACACAACACUCAUCAAUGCAAGCAAAGAGACAGUGAAGGAAAAAUUAAGAAACCAAUAUUGUCACUUGGAAGAAAGAAACAAUCAUUACAUAUAUAAUACGAUGGAUACUAAGAACAACAGGAAGCAUUUGUCCUGCAUUGCCAACGACGUCGUUCACAGAUGUGCACUGUACGUAUCUCUCUCUCUCUCUCUCUCUCCUUUUCUUUUUCUCCCCGAUCACUUUGUUUUCUUUAUAUAUACGAAUGUAUGUAGAACGUAGUAGGUUUUGUAUAAAUAUCUGUUGCACACAUUAUUUGAUGUGCAUUUAAAUAUAAUUAAUGGUAAUUGAGAUGACACACAAAGACAAUGCAAAAAAAGAAAAAAAAAGAGAGAGUAAAUUAAUGAAUUUGCCUUGAUCCAGUUAAUUUGUGUGCAUUUAGCUGACUGUAAGGUGGUUUCGAGUGUGUUUUUGUUUGGCAACUUUUCACACAAAAGCACUUUUGGGAAGCACUUUAUGUAAUGUAAGUGCCUCUAAAAACUGUUUUAUGUAUUACUGCCAAAUGCAGUGCAGAGGUUACAAUGGGAGGGUCGGUUUUAUACCUGUUCUUCGAGACUUAAUUUCAAUAGGAGAUUGAAAUAUUUAUGAGAAUUAUGUUGUUAGCAGACUUAAUUCUUUUGGAGGAAUUCAUUCCAUCGUAGACCACUCAAUGAAUUUGGUCGAUUGAGAUUAUUUGAGUGCAUGCUUCAAAACUGGAGCAUUAAUUCUUUGACAUAAAUGGGCUUUAACAUAAGGCGCGUUCGCUUAUUCCAUUUAUUCAAGAAGUUGGCACUCAAUUUUUUAUUACUAGCCUUUAGAUGGCCAGCAGCCUUUUGUAGCCCUUUCUAGUUUCUACUAAAGUGGUUAUGUGCAAUAGUUCUAUUCUGGGUUGCAAAAUUAUUGUGUCAGUAGAAUCCACAUACAUUAUGUACUUUUCUGUAUUUAAUUUCAAGAGGCUUAGUUAUAUCAUAGUUUUAGGAUUAUAAUAAGUCUGUCCGUUACCAUGUUAUUGGAAUUUUUUUUUUUUUCUAAAUUAGUUGGACACAUUAUUGGAUUGGUCAAUAAAGGAAAGCAUUUGGCAAGUACUUGGUUUGAUAUUAACAUAUAGUUGCAGUAAAGCACAUUAACUUGUGCAUCCUGAAAUUCUUGCAGGCAAGUAAAGGCUUCUGAGGAUUCAUUGGUGGAGGGGUUUGAAGCUGAAUGGAAGCCUGAAAUCGGACAGUAUUCGAAGAAAUUUGUGGAAUAUUGCAGCAUAAAGGCUCUUACUAACAUGUGCCAGAGCAUAGAAGAAAAGAUUAGUGAUGGAUCAUUUAGUCGACUCACAUUUGAUAUGAUGCUUGCCUGGGAAAUGCCUAGUGCCGCCGAUGAGGAGUCUCAUACUGUAAGCAAUCAUCAUAAUACUCAUAUCCUAUAUUUAUUUCAUGGUCCACCAAAUCAUUAUGAUAUUAUCCCAAUUUUGGUGUGCCUAUCUUCUCUUCAAGUUGCUUCUUCUAUUUCUUUUUCAUUAUACAUUCUCUGGUUCUCAUCAGUUUUCGCUCCAAUUAAAAGAAGCAUGAAUUCUUUCACUUAUCUGCUGAAUCUGUUCUAAUGAUUGGGCAAUAGAUUUUUAUUCCUCUCUGUGGUUACUACUAUUUUGAUCUUGUGCAGGAGUGCAUGGGAAAGGAGAAUGAGGAUAGAAAGGCUGUAAAAGUCACUUCAGAUCAUGAUGAAAUUCCUCUCUUCUAUACAGACAUCAUGCCUCUUCUAGUAAGAGCGUCUCUUUCUGAUCAUUUGAGUGCUAAUGUACCGACCAAGCAUUAGCCUUCACUGAAACUCGUAUAUGAUUUCAUGAACAUUGAUUAAUUGUUAUUUUUGCUAACUACUCUAUGAGAUCUGAUCAAAUUAGAUAUAUAAAUGUUGCGAUUGAUCUUGGAUUUGCUUUAUAUUUGGCCAUCAAUUAUAUUUUACUCUUCAUUUUUAUAUUUGUUUGGUUUGAUAAUUUACCCUCUGGCCCAUAUAUAUGAUGGUAGGUUAAUAAUGAACCGAGUGUUGGAGAAGAUGCAUUUGUAUGGAUGGGAUCCUUAGUUCCUCUAGUUUCAGAUGUUAUUAAUGGGAGAUUUACAUAUGAAAUUCUGACAGCGCCAACAGGAAACCGGCUCCAUUCUCCAGCAUAUGAUAUAUUUCUAAAGGAGAUGGACAAGUAAUUCUUCCAAUUCUUCCAUGCAGCAAUUUUACCACUCAGAAACUUUAAGUGCCGUUUGGUUUUGUGACAUGCAAAUUAUCAUGGAACACUCAAAAUGAGUUGUUCUUAACAAUUUCUAGAAUUUGCAAACUCACUAACCAUAUCUGAAAAUGCAGAAGCAUUAUUACCACUUAUUGAUAACAAUAUCUCUGCUCGACUUGUUUGGGUGCUUUCAGCCGUUUUUCAUUUUCUUUUGGAAAUCUUGAUUUCAUAGAUGCAUAAAACAUUUGCAAAAACAAGCAACUCCAAAGGGUGUUGAGCUGGCUGACGAUGAAUUUAUACUGCAUGUGGAGGGAACUGCAAGCACACAGAGAGUAGUGCGCCAUAUUGGGAAAACAAGUUGGCCUGGUAUGUCUUUAGUUUGAUGUCUUACAUCUUUUUAACUGCUGUAGAAAUUGUUACUUGGAUUUUACUAAUCAUAAUUGUUGUCUCUAGGUAGGCUCACACUGACAAAUUAUGCGCUCUACUUCGAGGCUUCGGGAGUAAUAACAUAUGAAGAUGCUCUAAAGAUUGACCUCUCAAAAGAUGCUGAACUAUCUGUUAAACCAACUGCCACAGGUCCAUGGGGUGCUCCGCUUUUUGACAAGGCAAUUGUAGUCGAGUCCCCUGAACAGUAAGCAUAGUUGCACUUAUAUGAAAUUACUGGAGCUAUUAGCAUCGUUAUUCUUAUUUUAAAAAUUGUUAAAUGCUUGGUAGUUAUCCCAUAAGCUAGAUUUUAAAUGCAUAACAUACAAGGCAGACAUCAGAAAGCAUUCUGAUUCGUUUAUUAAAGUUUGUCUUUUAUUAAGCUAAAGAUAUUAAUGCUGCUAGAUUUUUCUAAUUUGGUUGUAGAUAUUGGUUAGUUACACUGUCAAAUGAGCAAAUCUCGUGGAUAUUUCAUAGUGUGGUUAUGCAAUUGUUUUUUGCCCUUCACUUUUCUAGAUCUGAGGGAAUUGUCCUGGAGUUUCCAGAGAUAACUAGCUCGACAAGGCGUGAUCAUUGGCUGGCCCUCACAAAGGAGAUAAUGUUAAUGCACAAAUUCCUGUCAAAAUUCAAGGUGGAAUGUCCAAUACAAGCAUGGGAGAUGAAUGCAAGGACAAUACUUUGCAUCAUAAGACUCCAUGCAGCAAGAGAAAUGCUGAGGAUAUUGCCUCCAGAUCCCACAAAAUUCUUGAUUUUUGCUUUGUAUGAUGAGUUGCCAAAGGGAGACUACGUGCUAGAAGAGCUUGCUGAGAGUCUGAAGAAAGUUAAUUGUGGACAUCCUUCCAGUGCUAGCUCAAUUCUGAGAUGUAUGAACCUGUCAAUUGCCGCAAGUGGAGAAGUAAAAGAAGGAAAAGAACUGGAGGAACAUAAACAUAUAAGUGAUGAAAGCUGUUCAUCACUGGAAACUGCCAUCAAUCAAUCUAAAGAGCAAGCAAAGGCAAUUGAAAUUGCUAAGUCUACCACUGAGGGCCUGAAAGAUGAAGGGAUCAGUGAUAGUAUCCUUGUUCUCUUGGUAUGUUUUUACUUCCAAAUUGUUGUUUAUGCUGCUGAUUUUAUAUUGACAGAAUAAGUAAUGACAUCUCAACAAAUCAUGGUAUUGAGAGCUUGUUUGACAUUUAUCAAACACAGCAAAGAAAUUGAAUUUUAUGAAAUUCCUAUAGCACCCUAUAAUUUGUACCAAAAAAUCUCUGCACCUUUGGCAUGCUGUAUGGUAUGGAAGUAUAGCUGUCUCAGAGAGGUUACUGUUAUUUACUUUAUUUGGUUUUGUAGUAUUGAUGUUAAGUUUGAUUUAAUAAUGUAGGAGCUACUAAAGCCACUUAAAAGUGUUUUACCCUGGAUUCGAGAAGUUGUUUCAUGGGAAAAACCAGCAACCACCCUCACUGUGAUUGCAACAACUCUACUAAUAGUGUACAAGUAAGUCAGUGCUCCCUCGUAAUUUUCUUAUAUACGGAAAUUUUUUUGAAAGUGCAUGUUGAUCAAGAACCACUUCAUUACUUGGCCUAUUAAUGUGUAAACUUUGCAAAUGACUAGUAAACUAUAUAAUGGCAAUGUAGGGAGUGGGUAGGCCAGGCUAUAGCUGCUUGUUUGCUCACCAUCGUGGUGAAGAUGCUUCAGGCAAGAAAAAAAAGGUUGACAGACAAAUGCAAUGAGAUAGUAGUAUGCACUGCUUCAGAUCAGAGCACCGUGGAGAGCAUUGUGUCGGCUCAAUACAGUUUGAUAACUAUUCAUGAGAUGUUGCAGGCAGCAAACAUUAUGAUUUUGAAGAUAUGGUCGAUAUUAAUUUCAAAGGCCCGCAAGGUACUCAUUUUGAUAACCUAUGCUUUCAGCUUAGCAAUUAAAUAUCGUUUUCAAUCAAUAUUGCUUAUUCGUCGUUAGCUGAAGUUCGUUUACCUACUACAUUUGUUGGAUGUCUUCAAUUAUUGAGGAGUCUUAGUUGCAUUUCCAAAUUGUUCUAAAUCCUCGUUUCAUUUAAUGGGUUGCAGCAUGCGGACACGGUUAUGGUGGCAUUGACUGGGUUAGCAAUAGUAUUAGCAGUUGUUCCAUUCAAGUAUAUUGUCAUGGGAGGUGUGCUGUACGGCUUCAUUAUGAACUCGAAGCCAAUGAAGUACCUGGGAAACAACUCAAACGACCAAAGCGGCAACAGACGUCUAAAAGAAUGGUGGGAGUCAAUCCCUAUUAUUCCUGUUCGCGUCGUGGACAAGCUUCCUGAGUGCCCAAAAUAAUGUGUCGGCUCCUGCACAAUCACAGUUGCCUAAAUCCUCUGUUUCUGAACUUUUGUUAUCAACUUACUGCACGAUAUACACUUCUGAGUUUGCUUUUGCCAUCAGAGUAGAACUGUAUCUGAAACACAGCAUACACUUAAAUGCUCAUUACAAAUUUGGAGAAAAGCACAAGUAGAAAAGGAUUGAAGACAUUCAGUAACGUUGAAAUUCUGCAUUUUCUUUAAUUUUUGUUAUGAACAAGUUUCUUAAUUAUUUGUUCUCUUGAUGUAAAAUAGCAUAUUGCUGGGAGUAAUGAAGAUGUGACUGUGCUUUUCCUAUUAGCAUGUUAAUAAAAGCAAAAUGGAAAAUUAUUAGUUACGUCCUCUCGUUUUGCGGCUUAUUGAGCUAACAAGUAACUUCUUCAUUACUAGCGUGCAAGUUUGCAACUAGUGAAUCUCAAAUAUAACUCUACCCAAUGGAUGGAUGUACGAUGGAUGUACCUACCCAAUCAUUUAUUUCUCAUUAAAUCUGUUAAAACAGAAAAAGUCCCGACGUCAUAUUCUUCGCGCCUUUUAAAAAACGACACGUGUCGUAUCCCACUACUCGCGUGCUGGAAACUUUAACCCACUCUGACUGCGUGACAGCAGAUCAUUCCCAAUUCAUUUCAGUUUCACUGUCACUUUCACUCCUCCUCAGGCGCCUUCCGACAAACAGGAAGAAUGCAAACUUGAAAACCCCCAAAAACCCUAACGUUCCCCCGGAGACCCUAACCCACCAUAAACCCUGGCUCUUAAUCCUAGCCACUAUGAGCGACCAAGACGAGCAAUCGCGAGCUCAGAAAGCCGCCCAGUUAACAAGUCCGCUCUCAUCCUCUCUCUCGAACCUUUCUUCUUCUUCAAGAAGCAUCCCCUCUAAUCAAGAUUUCCAUUUCUUCUACAAUUUCCCUGAAUUCAAUCAACCCGUCCAAGAAAUCGCGAACCAAUCGCAGCUCCUCCUACAAUCCAUCGGCUCAUCGGAGAUUUUUAACCAACCGAUCAAUUUUCCUGAUGAGGUUGACAUCUCGGACGCCUACGACUGGCUUGUCGACGUAAACGACAACGUUUUCGAGCGUAUGGAUGUUUCUUUCGACGAAUUUAGUAAAGUAAGAGGGGAAAAUGGGGAAGGAGAUGGAAAUGAAGGUGGCUUUCAGUUGGUUUAUGGGAAGAACAAGAAGAAGGGCGACAUUGUGGGUGGCUCUGCCCCGGCCAGUGUGAAAGUGAAGGACAGGAAAGAGAAAAGCAAGGUGCCGUUUCAUAUAUCGACUAUAACAAAACCGCAAGAGGAGUACAAGAUAGUUGUGAACAAUGCGAACCAGCCGUUUCAGCAUGUUUGGUUGCAGAAGAUUGAGGACAGUGGACGGUUUAUCCAUCCUCUUGUAAGUUUGUUAUUUUUUGAAUAUUUUGAUAUUGGAUUUGACUUACUGGGUUUGUUAAAUUUGUAAUCUGAAAAUAGUACCUUUCUUAGGGACUUUUUAGUGAUCAAUUAUUUCUUUCAUUUUCUUUUUGGGUGGUUUGUGGUAUAUGUUUACGCUUAUCUUGUUUGGAAUUUGUGUGCAAUUCUUAUUAUUCAUGCGAGAAUUUUAACACUAUCAUGUGGUUCAUGCUUGCCAAAAAUAUACCAAAACACUUUUGCUUAUUGCUAUUGCUUUAUUUGUACAGGACAAUCUUUCUGUUUUGGAUUUUGUUGAUAAAGAUAUAGGGGAUGUGGAACCUGUAAAACCUCCCUCGUUGGAGCAGACACCAUUCAAGCUUGUGGAAGAAGUUAAAGAUUUAAAGGAGCUAGCUGCUAAAUUGAAGAGCGUAGAUGAGUUUGCGGUAAAGUCUGACUUCUGUGAUUAUGUUUUAUUGAUAAAUAAUGCCGUGGUUCAGCCUUACUGCAGUAGUUUCUUUUUUUCAGCCUUUUGAUUUCUCUUUUCUGAUGGGGCAUUUCAUAUACAGAACUGAACACUGUCCUAUGUAGAGGAUAUAGUGUAGUUAAGGCACAUGUCACCGAUGUCAGCUACUUCAAAAUUAUAUAGUGCUGGAUGUGGUUUAAGCCAAUAAGACAAGAAAGGGGUGUGGCCGCCUAUGAAGAUACAUACAAAUAUGUUAAUAUUCGAAACAUAUACAAAGAAAUGUGCCUGUAAUAGUUUUCCUGUCUACGUAAAGUAGUAAACCAGCUGUCUAUUUAAUCUUGAUACAAGUUUUGCAUGUUUAAAAAAUUAUCUUUCAUCUUUAACAGUGAGUCCAUUUUUAGCUGUAAUCCUUUUCUCAAGCAUGACUUGGUUUUGCUUUCGUUUUCAUCUCAACAGUAAACCUGUUUGCAACUAGAAAACAUUGUAAUUUUUUUGUAACUUUUCUCUAGGUCGACUUGGAACAUAAUCAAUAUCGAUCUUUCCUAGGAUUGACUUGCCUGAUGCAAAUUUCCACCAGAACCGAAGAUUUUGUGGUAGAUACGUUAAAGCUUCGCGUUCAAGUUGGGCCAUAUCUUAGGGAAGUUUUUAAAGAUCCUACCAAGAAAAAGGUUGGUCCCUUCAACAUGCUCUCGCGUAGCUUUGUGAUAAAUCUUAUUUUUUCCCCCCCAAAUUAUGUUAACUUUUACUUUACUAGGUGAUGCAUGGAGCAGAUCGAGAUAUUGUGUGGCUUCAACGGGACUUUGGCAUAUAUUUGUGCAAUAUGUUUGACACAGGACAGGUUUUAUCCCUUGAAACUCUCUUUGAAAUUUGAGACUUUAUUGAUGAUCUUGUCUGGUUUUUUGUACAAUGGUUAAAUUUAUCUUAUCUUAUCUGCUUUUUUGUGGUCUAAUUUAUGAGUGUUGAUGCAAGCCUUUAUUCUACUAAAUUAGUUAAAUUGAGUUAUCUUUUGAUACUGUAUUUUCAAUUUUGUAAUUCAUCUUAUGUGUUUGAGUCAAGGUUUGGCUUCAAAAAGCCUUGUCAGUUACAUGUCAUCUCUCCCUUAAUUUUUUCAAAGUAGCUUCGCUUGUCAUUUGAACUAUUUGUAUCAUUAUUUUCAAUUUUGAUGUGGAACUUCCCCCAUUUAUUAAUGUUCUUUUGGUUGUUUUUGUGUAAUGCUCUUUUGUAAAUUUUACCGUGGCAUUUAUUUUGUUUUGCAUUUCAAAUAAUAGUGAGAAUUGCUUUUUUCAGUCCUAAGUUUAUUGGUUUAUUGUAAAUAUACUGUAUAUUUAUUUUGGUUUGCAUUGGGAGAUGAUCGUGGGAAUUUGUUUCUGUCUUUUCAUAAGGCCUCAAGAGUCUUGAAAUUGGAGAGAAAUAGUUUGGAGUAUCUUCUACAUCACUUUUGUGGAGUUAAUGCCAACAAAGAGUGAGUCCUUUUGUAAAGUACCUGAUCUGUUUCUCCUUAUAGUUUCCGCCCUUCAUCAUCCUAAGUCAACUCAUUGCAGAUACCAGAACGCAGAUUGGAGAGUACGUCCUCUUCCCGACGAGAUGCUGAGGUACCUUUGGUUCUCUUUUUAUCUUCUUUGUAACCUACUUUUCUAAUGAGUUCUCCAAAAAAAAAAAAAUUAUGAUCUGUUUGGCAUGAAAAUAAUUACUACUAUUUUAAAGUUCUUGUAUUCUUUGGAAAAGCAGAAAUCAUAUAUCAUCAUUUAAGUGUUUGGGGUUUCAUCUUUGCCUGUAUUUUUGUAGAAACUAAUAAUAUUUUUUUUUCUGUGGCUUAGGAUUUGAAUUGUGGGAAUAUCUAUGUUGGAAAUUAAUAAUGAGUGCACAUUGACUCUUGAUAGUGGACAAAUAUUUGGACAGCCAGGAAGGGGAAGGCCAACAAAAGUUUUGGGUUUUUAUAAGUUGAAGUUAUGAAUGGUUUUAUAAUUAAUUAGGUAUAGGUUUCCUCAUUUGGGUAUUUCUGGGAGAUCUGGGUUAUAAGAUUGAGAUAUUCCAGCCUGUAUAGAUAAUUGUAGGGUUGCCUGUGUUUGUGAUAUUCCAGCGCGUUUAUUAUUACUACUUCUUAUAUAUAUAAAAUUUUAGACUCUUUCCAUGUCUAACAAGAAGUUUUCAUGAUAUCACUUGGAUCCUACUCAUGCAGACUUGUAAGGCAUCCUUAGGUGCGGUUAUGUGAUCUGGUUUUUAUAAAUAUUUUUAAAUUUUUUGUCAGAGACAAUGCCUGUAGUGACAAUGUACUGACUUAUCUUUUGGUUAUUACCAAGCUGAAUCAGGUUGCCUGUGGUUUAUGACCAUACCAUUUGGUCUUAUAAAAUGUUCUUCCCUUCACCUCAUGUUCUCAUACUUUAAAGCAUGAAUAAUAUCUAAGGGCCUGAGAUUAUUUCAUUAAUUUUUCCCAAGUCUAGAUCCUUCCCAGAGAAAUGGAUGGAUUACCCACACACUCACCAGUAACAUGUCGUACUUUAUGACGGUUUUGCAUUACUGCUGUAUGUCAUUUAAUUUGCCCUUUUGAGGAUUCUUUAUUUUCUCUGGGCUGAUGUUACUUUGUGGUGCUUUUUUUUCCUAUUUAGUCAAAAUAUAUAUUCAUCAUAGAGUUUCUCUGUUAGAAUUUUCUUAGCUUUGAGGAUUCGUUAGUGGCAUAUCAUCCAAUUGAUUAUACUUGUGAUGACAGAUACGCUAGAGAAGAUACACACUAUCUGUUGUAUAUAUAUGAUAUAAUGAAAAUCAAGUUGUCCUCAAUGCCCAAGGAGUCUGAGAAUUCUGAUACUCCCCUGACAGAGGUAUGAUUUUUGCUUAACUGUUGGUGUUGUUUUGUAAAACUGUUGGGCAUCUCUAUGAUUAUAGAGAAUCCAUUUUUAAAUGCUUUUUUCAGAUCUUGUUGUGCCAUGUAUGACAGACCAUUGCGUCUGGAGAUUGGCAUGGAGCUUAAUAAUUACAAUGUUAAAAAUAGAACAUAAAAUAUUGGGAAGUAUCUAUCAUGACUAAUUCUUCAACUGUUUAAGGAAGAUAGUUUAAAUCCGAAUAUCCUUUUUUGGAUUGUGGACUAAAGAAAAUUGUCAACUCUUGAUUUCUCUUCCCAAGGAUGAAGACGUAUCAGUCUGUUGGCAAACACAUUUUUUGAAUUUUACUUUAGUUAUCUAUAAUUUUACCAUAUUGAGCAAACAUUUUGUUGCAAACAGGUCUACAAGCGCAGUUAUGACGUAUGCAGGCAGCUGUAUGAGAAGGAGCUUCUGUCAGAAAAUUCUUAUCUCCACAUUUAUGGGUUUGUCUUUGUCCCUAUUCAUCUCAGUUUAAGUUUUCAUUUAGUGGCCUCGCCUGUUUAAAAUCUUCUCUCAUACAGUUUUUGUUUGUUUCAUUCUUUACUUAGCAUUACUUCUCUUGUUUAAUUUUAGUUCUAUUUUGGACUUCGUAUUUAUGUGAUUUGACAGAACUUAAUCAGUGGAGCUUAUUUCUCUAUGUUGAAAUAGGUUGCAGGGGGCUGGUCUCAAUGCUCAGCAGCUUGCUGUUGUUGCGGUAUGUCAGUUCUUCAUGUGUUUUUCAAACUUUGCCACUUUUCUAUCUGGAUAUUAUAUGCAUGAGGAUGCUACUGAAAAUGUAUUAUCCGCAUGUUUUGUUUACUAGUUGCAUCUUCAAAUGAAACAAAGUCUUGACCCAGAAGAAUCCGUAACGCACCAAUAGUCACUAAUAGGAUUGUCUUGAGAAAUUUACUUCUAAAUUUUUGAGUGGAUGAUAGAAGGGUGGAUUUUAAGUAGCUGACACAUCAUUGCCAACUGCUGAUAGAGUCUGUUGCAUACUUGAGUAUUCUUGCUAGUUCUGGCCCCAUUGAUCCCACUUCAAUGAUUUGCAGGGUCUUUGUGAAUGGCGAGAUGUUAUUGCUCGUGCAGAUGAUGAAAGUACUGGCUAUGUAUUGCCAAACAGAACUCUGAUUGAAAUUGGUAGAAACCUGUCUGAAUUUCCUCCAACUCUCUCUUCUAUAUGUAUAUAAUCCAUUUGGUGAGUUAUGAGUUAAUCAUAUUUUCCUUUUGUGGUAAAAGCCAAACAGUUGCCUACUACUGCUGCCAAGUUACGUCGAUUGUUGAAAUCAAAGCACUCAUAUAUUGAACGCUAUAUGGGUCCGGUACUUAGCAUCAUAAAAAAUUCUAUGCAAAAUGCUGCUAAUUUUGAAGUCAUUGCUCAAAAAUUGAAAGAGGAACGUAUGGAAGUGGUAAGACCUGCAUGCUCAUGUUUGAUUGUUUUGUUAUAUCAGUGAUCCAAAUUGAUUAUUUUUCUUUGAGAAUUUGAUGUUAAUGCCUUCAAUGGAUUGCCAACAUACAUUGAUUUUCUUUUUCUUUUCCUUGGAUUUCGUUAGAAUCAGACCAACCAUCUUUUAAACGAGGAUGAUGGUCCAAAACCUUAAGGUCUACUACGAUGAAUUGCUACUUUUUGUGCAAGUUCUUGUAAUUCACUCAGCUGGUUGUCUUCGGCAAAUGAAAGGAAAAAGGAAAUUCAUCCAAUCCAGUUCUAUUGAAGAAAAAGAAUCCUAGUUGAUCUUACAAAAUUAAGCUUUCAUAAUUUGUUAACCCAUGGAAUGUGAUUAAAACUCAUGGACAAAGGAUGUUCCAGUUGAGAAAGGGAUUUGAGUGAUUUUUAGCAAUUAUCAGUGAUGUCUUCAUUAGAAGUAAGUUUAUGGUUUAUAGCAGUAAAUGCUCAAUAAUUAGGUACUCCUUGUAUAUUGGCUGACCGGGUCCCAUGUUUGUAGUAGGUUUUGUGAGCUACAGAGGAUUAACUUCAGUCAGUUUUCCAUGUUAUGGCUGU
rnacentral:lncRNA from 1 species